UCUUGUUUCAACGCCUUGCGUGUGUGUGUGUGUUAGUAACACCUUCCUUCUCUCUCGCGCACGCAGCCACACCAGCUUGCACAUCACCCGCCAAACCCCCCUCCCCUCCCCUCCCCUCUGUGCCCUCCUUCUUUUGUUGUUGUUCGCUCUGCUGCAUCGUCCGCCUGCCCUCACACGCGCCGAGAAGCACAGCGCCAACGCACGUAAGAGAACCGUUGUGGCCGCAGCGGAGUCGCGAGCGCGCACAAGGGCGUGCCCACGCGCCAGCAGCGGCGGGAGGAAGACGCAGAUGAAGACAGAAACAGCGUAGAAAUUUCAACUGCGAUUAAGCAAGCACGUACACGCAAGGCCUCCCUCUCUGAGGCCAUCGCACCCUCCAUCCCGCGCCGACAGCGCCACCCGCCCUCUACUCUUUCUUCUCGCUCUCUUACCUCAGCGCACGAGCAGACAGGCACACGCACCUGCCUCCUCGAUAGAGGUCCUCCGUGUUGGAGGCUCUUUACACACGCACACAAGCGCCCAUACGCACACGUGUAUGUACAUAACCUUUGUUGUCUACUAUUCUUUGCGUGCAGCUUUCUCUGCGUGUUUGCCUCGUGGCGUGUGCGUGCGUCUGCGUGUGCGUCUGUGAAGGGGACUCGCACCGCCAUUACCGUCAUCACCGUUACCACCUUUUCGUUGCAUCCUCCUCCCUCAUCCCCUCCCACCCCCCAUCUACACCCCUUCCUUUGCGUGUGUGUGUGUGUGUGUGUGUGUGAUCCUCGUGUUGUUGGACGCUCGUCACUCCCUCUCUCCGUUCUCGAGGCUCCGACUCAUCGGGUUUCACAACUCCGCCCGCCCGCUGUCGCUUUACGUCGCCCUCGAUCCCAUCAACUAGGGUAACAGCGGUAGCGAAACGACGUCGCGAAGAGGUGAAGCGCACGGCCAGAACGUCUUCUCGAGGAAGGAGUGAAGGAGCACAACAAGCGCUGCCCCCCCCGCCCCGUUGGCGCUUCAGGAGGCAGACACAGACACAGUGGCAGAGGCGGGUAUCACAAGAAACACGGAAAGGUGCAAGCGGUAAGGAAGGCGAGAGGGAGCGUUAGCGUCGGCGGCAUCGGCGGCAAAGAGAGGGCGCGCCAGCGAGAUCUUCAAGCAUACGGUUGGAGAGGCAACGUGCGAGUGCGCUGUGCAUCGCCCUCACUUCGUCGCAAGCGCAAGACGGAAGAAGCGAAACGGAAA
rnacentral:misc_RNA from 1 species